AGAGUUUGAUCAUGGCUCAGAACGAACGCUGGCGGCGUGCCUAACACAUGCAAGUCGUACGAGAAAAUCGGGCUUCGGCCUGGUGAGUAAAGUGGCGCACGGGUGAGUAACGCGUGGGUAACCUACCCCUAAACCAGGAAUAACUACUCGAAAGGGUGGCUAAUACCGGAUAAUGUUUUCGAGUCUUUGGACUUGGAAACCAAAGGUGGCCUCUACAUGUAAGCUACUAUUUAGGGAUGGGCUCGCGUACCAUUAGCUUGUUGGUAGGGUAAUGGCCUACCAAGGCUGUGAUGGUUAGCUGGUCUGAGAGGAUGAUCAGCCACACUGGAACUGGAACACGGUCCAGACUCCUACGGGAGGCAGCAGUGAGGAAUCUUGCGCAAUGGGGGAAACCCUGACGCAGCAACGCCGCGUGAGUGAAGAAGGCCUUCGGGUCGUAAAGCUCUGUCAGGUGGGAAGAAAUACUUGGUGCUAAUAUCACCAUGGGCUGACGGUACCACCAAAGGAAGCACCGGCUAACUCCGUGCCAGCAGCCGCGGUAAUACGGAGGGUGCAAGCGUUGUUCGGAAUUACUGGGCGUAAAGAGCGUGUAGGCGGUUAAUUAAGUCAGGUGUGAAAGCCCUUGGCUCAACCAAGGAAGUGCAUCUGAAACUGAUAAACUUGAGUACGGGAGAGGAGAGUGGAAUUCCUGGUGUAGAGGUGAAAUUCGUAGAUAUCAGGAGGAACACCGGUGGCGAAGGCGACUCUCUGGACCGAUACUGACGCUGAGACGCGAAAGCGUGGGGAGCAAACAGGAUUAGAUACCCUAGUAGUCC
rnacentral:rRNA from 1 species